rnacentral:rRNA from 1 species
AUUGAACGCUGGCGGCAUGCCUAACACAUGCAAGUCGAACGGAGGGCUUCGGCCCUCAGUGGCGGACGGGUGAGUAACGCGUAGGGAUCUGCCCUGCAGUGGGGGACAACCUGGGGAAACUCAGGCUAAUACCGCAUACGCUCCAUGGAGGAAAGCGGGGGGACCUUCGGGCCUCGCGCUGCGGGAUGAACCUACGUCCGAUUAGCUAGUUGGUGGGUAACGGCCCACCAAGGCGACGAUCGGUAGCUGGUCUGAGAGGACGGCCAGCCACACUGGGACUGAGACACGGCCCAGACUCCUACGGAGGCAGCAGUGGGGAAUAUUGGACAAUGGGCGCAAGCCUGAUCCAGCAAUGCCGCGUGGGUGAAGACGGCCUGCGGGUUGUAAAGCCCUUUAGGCGGGAAGAACGGCCGGGCGCGAAUAACGCGCGGCUCUGACGUUACCCGCAGAAUAAGCACCGGCUAACUCCGUGCCAGCAGCCGCGGUAAU